CGGAUCUAGGAUUGAAAAAGCCGUGGCGGGAGAUUAGUGGGAGCUCUGCUCAUUGUUGGUUUGUUUGGUUUGCUUGCGUUUCUUUGGAUUGUUUGUGUAUGACAGAUUUUUGGUUUCCUGGUUUCCGACUUUUGCUUUGCCCCUCCUGUACCUUUGCCUUUGGUUUUGAUCUCUUGCCUUCCUACUGACUACUCUUUUUGCCUCGCCUCUCGGAUACUGCGUUUCGGCUUUCUGGUAUGUUCUGUAUGUUUGUGUCUGAUAAGUGCGUAGGGAGUGACUGCUGUUUUGUUUUCGCGUACGUGUGGUUUACUAUGUUUUUUGGUUAGGGAGUUAGGCUUAGUCUGUGUCAUUUCGUUUUCUCAUCUUUUCAUUUCAUUUAGAAUUAGCUUAGUUUGGAUUUGUUCGUUAGCACUGUUUUGUUUAUUGUUUUGGCCGUGUCACUCCCGAAGUCUGUUGCCUUAUUGUUUGUAAAAGUGUUUGUGAAUAAAUAUAAAAAAAUACAAAAAAAGAUCCCUUUGUUUCCCCUGUUCCCUUGUAUUAACAUAGUAUUUAAUUUAGGAUCAGUUCUAACAUAGUGUUUGGCCCUUUAAAUGAGCUGGUGGUGAAACUUUACAAAUAGAUGGAAUGGCUGAGGAGAGGUUUGGGAACUGAAGCGGUGUUCAUCUAACCAUCCAGUGAGAUGUUAGUAACUUUUUUUGGAGAACAGAAGAAAUUACUGUUAGUUAUUAUUGUGAUGGAACAAAAACAAAUGAAGGCUGUGUGUGUGUGUGUGUGUGUAUAUAUAUAUAUAUAUAUAUAUAUAUAUAUAAGAAUUCAAUGGCUUUGAGAAUUAUGUAUUUUAAUAAAUGUAUUACCUGUACAUUACCUCACCUGAAUCUUUUCGUAGGAAAUGCAGCAGAGUAUUACAUAAUUUUCUCUCUGCUGGAAUGUAAUGAAGAUGAGACCUUCAUUGAAAUGGUGCAGUGUGACCUGGGCCAGAGAUGGGCGCAUUUUCAACGUGCUAAAUUUGAGCCACAACAUGAGGGAAACUAUUUCUGCAACAAAAUGCAUACUGAAAUAGUUUUUAAGGAAAAGCACCGAAGAUUUUUGACAUGCACUUUACUCUUACAUUUUUUUUCUACCCAAAUUCUGAAUACUUAAAUCAGAAUAAAAAACAAUGUAUUUUGUUUAUUAUAUGUUAACUAGUAACUUUGUUUAAUUAUUAAAAUCGAAGUUGAGCGGUUUUAAUGAC